UACGUAGGGUGCAGGCGUUAAUCGGAAUUACUGGGCGUAAAGCGUGCGCAGGCGGUUUGUUAAGACAGGUGUGAAAUCCCCGGGCUUAACCUGGGAAUUGCGCUUGUAACUGGCAGACUAGAGUGUGGCAGAGGGGGGUGGAAUUCCAAGUGUAGCAGUGAAAUGCGUAGAUAUUUGGAGGAACACCGAUGGCGAAGGCAGCCCCCUGGGCUAACACUGACGCUCAUGCACGAAAGCGUGGGGAGCAAACAGG
rnacentral:rRNA from 1 species